CCUUCAUCUCCGCACACCUGUUGACAUGACGACUGCUACUGACCCCGCCCCGCUGGCUCUAUAAUUGACCGCGUGACCUCCGAGGGCAGAGUUCGUUCACCUGGAAACAAGCCACAGUAAGCUCGGCAUCAAAUGUGAGGCCGACACCCGGCUCACCUCAGCUCGGCCCAGAGACUGAAGCAGCUACACACCCUGGAGCAACACGUCCUCUGUCCCAGAUAAACGCCCGAUGUUUCACGGCUGACGGGCCAAGCAGCAGCAUGGCAGACCCUCUUCCUAGAACUCAGUGUUUUUACAUGAUACAUUUGAUACAUUUUCAAUUCCCAGCUUUCCCCUAGUAUAACUCGGACUGUAAGUCUUUCCUAGACUCACUUUCUGUUUACGUUUUUCAACUUAUUGUUUCUUAGUGUCUCUCUUAUUGAUUAUUGGCAAUUACAAGACAGCAGUUAAUGACAAGUUUUAAUUACAGGACAUCAACCCCACUCAUAACCAGCUAUUUCUAGAACCUCCUUUCAUGUAUCUGGAGAGAGUAAGUCAUUCACAAUUAUUCUUUCCAUGUCUGAUGAUAUACUUCAUCCCCCUGUCCGAGCAUACUGAAUAACCAAAACUGUUUAAAAAAGCAUUUCCUGUGGUACCAAAAGAGGAUCCAAAUAUCCUUUUUUUUUUUUUUUUGCUUGUGUUGUCUCCGAGUUUAAAAUUCAGUUAUUGUGAACAGCCUUAUAAUGUAUGUGAUAUGUAUCAUCUAUACUACUGCAUUUUUCCCCUUGGUAUGUCAGGCCCUGGUGUAUUGUGUCCUUAAUUGUUAGUGGGAUGGUUUGCCAUGUCCUCAGUAAACCCUCUGAAAUACAGUAAACCAUAAACCGACAUAAAAUCCUGCGUGUUAACUGCAUGGGGCAAUUUUGGCACUUGACAAAUGACAGGAAAAUGAUAGACAACGGCAAAAACAUUGUGACCUAGCCUGAAACUCUGAUUGUAUGUGCAUGUAAUAUGCAUCACAAAUCGUUAAAAUCUUUGACAAUGAGCUUUUUGAGUUGUUCACAUGGAAAAAUGCUGUUUCUUUUGAGAAAACUGACCUUGAAAUGUU